UUAAGAAUGAAAAGAGAAAUUUUACUUCUUUCUUCAAACUCUGAGUUUAUUUGCUGGCCUAUUAAUGAUUCUCUUGAUCAUCUUCAAGCUGACUUGUUCGGGCCUGCAGAAUCUCCUUAUGAAAACGGAGUAUUCAGGCUUGAUGUUAUUAUACCUGAGCGCUACCCAUUUGAGCCGCCCGUUGUGAAGUUUGUAACUCCCAUUUACCAUCCAAAUGUGGAUGAAGGCGGUCGCAUUUGCCAUGAUAUUUUCAAAAUGCCUCCAAAAGGCGCAUGGAAGCCGUCUUUAAAUAUUCAAGCAGUUCUUUUAAGCGUUCUACUAUUACUGGUCGAACCUAAUCCCGACGACGCACUGAUUGCAGAAAUUGCCUCAGAAUAUAAACAAAGUAGAGAAAUAUAUAUAAAAAAGGCACGCGAUUUUACUAAU